rnacentral:tRNA from 1 species
GCCCUGGUGGUACAACAGGUAAGUGCUUGACUGUUAACCAAAAGGUUGGUGGUUCGAACCCACCCAGUGGUU